rfam:Acromyrmex echinatior unplaced genomic scaffold scaffold204, whole genome shotgun sequence.
GGGGGGGUUUUUAGUGGGUAGGCGAUACACAUGUCGAAUCCCACACACCUCGGGGUACGGGCCUCGGGGCGUCUUGCGAAGAUUUUCCCCCUCC